rnacentral:rRNA from 1 species
GACGAACGCUGGCGGCGUGCUUAACACAUGCAAGUCGAACGGAAAGGCCCUGCUUUUGUGGGGUGCUCGAGUGGCGAACGGGUGAGUAACACGUGAGUAACCUGCCCUUGACUUUGGGAUAACUUCAGGAAACUGGGGCUAAUACCGGAUAGGAGCUCCUGCCGCAUGGUGGGGGUUGGAAAGUUUCGGCGGUUGGGGAUGGACUCGCGGCUUAUCAGCUUGUUGGUGGGGUAGUGGCUUACCAAGGCUUUGACGGGUAGCCGGCCUGAGAGGGUGACCGGCCACAUUGGGACUGAGAUACGGCCCAGACUCCUACGGGAGGCAGCAGUGGGGAAUAUUGCACAAUGGGCGGAAGCCUGAUGCAGCAACGCCGCGUGCGGGAUGACGGCCUUCGGGUUGUAAACCGCCUUCGCCUGUGACGAAGCGUGAGUGACGGUAAUGGGUAAAGAAGCACCGGCUAACUACGU